UCUGGCAAUGAUGACAAACUUGCCCUCACUGAGAACUUUGUUCUUUAAUGAAAACCUUUACUGUGCUCUUUAUCCUGAGCUAGA